GUGCUGUCCACAAACAGUCCUCGUGCACCACCCGGGAGUGGGGUGGGGGUUCAACAAACAGGUGCAAUCGUUUUGAUUUAAUUCGGUUCGCUCCAAAGUGAUAUAAUCCAAUGGAGAGUAUAAUAAAUCCAGGCAGUACGAAGCAGCCUCGGGGCUAUCAGUUUUUGACAGGCAGGGAAAAAAAAACUGUGUGUAAAAACACACCAACAAAACAAAAA